rnacentral:rRNA from 1 species
ACACAGGGAGGUAGUGACAAGAAAUAACAAUACGGGGCUUAAUGUCUUGUAAUUGGAAUGAUGGGAAUUUAAACCUCUUCCAGAGUAUCAAUUGGAGGGCAAGUCUGGUGCCAGCAGCCGCGGUAAUUCCAGCUCCAAUAGCGUAUAUUAAAAUUGUUGCAGUUAAAAAGCUCGUAGUUGAAUUUCUGCUGCAUUACAUAUCUCUUGUUUGAGUUUGUUUUUGUGGCUUAUUUCGGUUUGAUUUUUUCUUUCCGGAUGAUUACUUUGAGAAAAUUAGAGUGCUCAAAGCAGGCUUUUGCCUUGAAUAGUUUAGCAUGGAAUAAUAAAGUAGGACUUUGGUUCUAUUUUGUUGGUUUUAGGUACCAAAGUAAUGGUU